UACGGAGGGUGCAAGCGUUAAUCGGAAUUACUGGGCGUAAAGGGUGCGUAGGUGGUUUGAUAAGUUAUCUGUGAAAUUCCUGGGCUUAACCUAGGGUGGUCAGAUAAGACUGUGAGACUGGAGUAUAGGAGAGGGUAGUGGAAUUUCCGGUGUAGCGGUGAAAUGCGUAGAGAUCGGAAGGAACACCGGUGGCGAAGGCGGCUACCUGGCCUAAUACUGACACUGAGGCACGAAAGCGUGGGGAGCAAACAGG
rnacentral:rRNA from 1 species